rfam:Aedes aegypti strain Liverpool supercont1.214 genomic scaffold, whole genome shotgun sequence.
GUCCGGCUAGCUCAGUCGGUAGAGCAUGAGACUCUCAAUCUCAGCGUCGUGGGUUCGAGCCCCACGUUGGGAG